ensembl:lncRNA
UCCCGGCCGCCCGCCGACCGCGCGCGGGGCUCCGGCGCUCCCAUCCGGGCGCGGGCGCAGAGGGCUGCUGGUGCUCGGGAGAUGCGUUAAAAUAAUAAAAGAGCUAUAUGAUGCUUGUCACAGCUGCUGAUCUUAAUAAGGGGGAGACAGUUGAAAAAGAGAAGAUAUUAAUAAACUAAUGCAAGCAAAGAUGCGGUUGAAAUGAGAAAGGAAAUAUAACAAAGUGCCAUGGGAAUUCAAAUGAGAGAGAUUUAAGACCAUGAGACUUAAGGCAUCUCGUCUGAUCUUUGAAACACUAAUUUAUUUGGAGUAGACCGAGAAAAGACACUCUGCACACAACCAAAAGCACGGAAAAAGUCACGGAGUGUGAGCAAGAGUGGGCUGUGGUGUAGCUGCAGAAACUACCUUAGUCAGCACCGGGGAAGAAUUGACAGCACAGCUGACUGGGGCGCUUGACCAAGAGGCUCCCUGGAGGGCCUCUGUCUCCAGGAUUCUCAACGAAAAUUCAGCUCUUCCCGCACUCGUCCCCCACACUGGGCCACCAGAGGACCAGGCUGUGACGUGGUCAUUUUACUGUCAAACCUCUGGUACCAAAGAGAUGCUCAAAACAUAGAUUUUGCAUCAAUGAAAGCAAAGUGGACAGUGUUGGGGCCUUGGGUGAAAACCUGCAUAGACAGCUUUAAACACUCAACAAAGGCUGAACAGUCUUCAGUGGGGAGUGAUAAUUCAGGAAAUCUGGGGAAGAUUUGAUGACACUAAGAGCCUGUUUAGGAGGAAUGAUCAAGGAGGAAGGCUUGAUUGCCUUAAGGGUUGGAUUUCUAAGUAGUUCCUUGAGGCUCCAAAAUUCUAUGAUUGACAGAAGGGGAAACUGGGAUCUAUUGCAUUAAUUAGGAAAGGAAUGAAGCUUGGAGCUGAUAGAUUUUCUGCAUUGGGCAGCAAGAACAGGAGGGCACAUUGCAUGUCGUUACCACCACAUAACGAAGAGCUGGAACUACUCCUAGCUCCUCUUAAUGGGACUUAGUAAUACUUG